rnacentral:lncRNA from 1 species
GAGGAAUUGCUCCUGUGAGGUUGUUUCCACCUACUACCAGAAUCUGAAGCUGAGCCAAGUUACGAAACAAUGUUGCCACUGAAUUUGUUGCCGGCGAGCUUCAAGACUUGUAGACAGCUAAGGACUUCCGAAUGGUUCCUGUAAUUUGAUUCUGGCUCAAUACAAAGUACGUUAGACUGGGAAAGGCAUGUUCCUCAAACCCUGGAAACUGUAGUUGUUGUACCCAGC